GAAAUUUUGCUAUUUUUUCUCCCACGCCUUAAGUGUGUCGUCCAACCUAGUGAAAACCUUAGAUAUAUAAGUUAUUUAUUUUAUUCUUUUCUUCUUUUCUCAAUUCUUUCCUUACCCUAGCUGUUCCUCUCCUCUCUCUCUCUCUGAUUUUCUCUCUAUUUUUCUCCUUUCUUCUUCCUUGUGUCGUCCCUAGCUGGGUGAUUUUCACCAUUGUUGUACUGCCUUAUUGCUCUAUUACCUGGUUACAAUUCCUCCAUCCUUAUUGCUGGCAUUUUUAAUCACCAAAUAGCCUCUUUUCUUCCCUAAAACCCUCCUUUGAGCCACUUAAAUCAGCCUCUCCUUGCUGCCAUUAGACCUCCAUUUUCUCCCCAUUUUCUCCACUCGUGGUGUACUGGUUGUUUCCUUUUGCUUCUCGAUUCUUGUUCUGUUGCUUGUCAAUUUUUGUUGCUGUUUUUAGAACCAUUUUAUUACUGUUUCCAGCCUCUAAAAUUCAUCCCCUUUGGAUCCAAAAACUAUUUUUGUGCCGCCCCAAAUCAACCACAUUCUUACUGCCGCUUGUGGUGGUGUGCGACCCAUCAGUGUACCACUUAUAGGCUACAAUUUUUCUCUUCUUUUUCCUCCCAUUGCAAUAGUGUUCUACUCAUUUUUCCUUUAUUUAAAACAACCCUUAAAAUUCUUAAUUAAGUCUGUAUAUGAUCCUAUUCAUCUGACAUCUCAGAUCUAGUUAUCGGGUGUAAGCGCAGUUCUAUGCGAGAUCUUGCGUUGUUUUUAUUUCACUUAUAGUUGUUGCCAUGGUCGAAUGCUCUGAGGCCAUAACGUGAUUUUCAGUUACUAAUAUUUAAGUAUUCUUUCAAUCUUAGGUACUUAUUUGAACGUGUCGAAUCAGCAGUAAAGUCGGAUUUCAUUCGUGCCCUUGUUUCGCAUCAAAUCAAUGUAAGUUACCGUGACAAUUUGGAUCUGAAAAUUUGUUGGUGUAACACUGAUUUGGCCAAGCCCUUAGGGGCUAUUUCAAGGCUAUUUUUAAUAGUAUUUUAACUCAUUAAAUGCUAUAAAUUGGUUUUAGACAUGUUUAAGGUUUUAAUGUGGUAGUGCAGACUUUGCGGAUUAGUGCUAGGGACUUGUGAAUUGAGGUGUGGGUCUUUUCCUUUGUUUAAUUAGUCUAAAAUUCGCAUAAAAUAUGUUUAAAUGAAAAAUUUUCUUGCUGGUUAUUGAAUGGCUGAAUGGCCUAAUUGCUAAUAAAAGAGGUGUCGAGCUAGGCACGUACACUAAUUGAAAGCUGAUUGUUAAAGGCCCUGUUGGGACCGAUUGUGAUGUGUAUGAGCUCAGUGUGAUUUAUGCCUUUGUGCUGUAAUUUGUUAAUAGUAUAUUUGGUAUAUCAAAUCUUUGUUUGCUAAGUUCUAUUGAAAAUAUGUGAAUUGUAUGCAUGUAUAGCAUGCUGAAUUUUGAGACACUAAUUGAUGUGCAUGUCAAAUGCCAUGUAUGAUAUUGAGCUUGUAUGUAUUUAUAAUUAUAUACCUUAUGUGAAAAAGGACUGCAUGGAAAGGAUGUAUGCAUGCUACUGUUUCUAUAAAUGAAAAGUAUGCAAGGCAUAUACCGACACUGACUAUUGAUACGCAUGUUAAGCAUGCCAUUGUACUGAGAUUGAAAAUGAUAGCAUGGUUUGCUCACUAAUUGUAUGCCAUUUUGCAAUAUGCAUGGGGUGGGUUAUUGUGGUUUGCGAAGGAGUUUCGUGGAGUAUCGGUAGUAGUUAAGGUUCGCAUUAUUAUUGUUAGUGCACAACAUCGGAAGUACCAAGGAGAUUGACGAUUUUAUUGCAUUAUUGGUAGCUUGUCCUCACUAUUGGCCAUUUAUCUGCAUUACCGAUACUGGUGGCUUGUCCACAGUACUGGUUGCUUGUCUGCAUAUAUAUUGCACUUUAUUUGCACUAAUGUACUGAUGGUUUAUCCACAUCGAGCUUCGGCUCACACUAUUUGGUCUUUGGUAGAUGGGUUCUGGGGAACUUGUGGUAUGUAACGAAUGGUAGGGUAGGAACAUUUGCAUUGCAUCAUUUGCAUCAUACCAUGCUCAUACAUCAUUCGUUAAUUGCUAUGAACUUUUAUUGAUGGCACUUAUUAAUGAACUGCUAAGUUUGAAAUGGUUACUGUAUUGAUGAUUCUAUAAUUUACUGUAAUUGAACCAGUAUCUGUGUAAAUAACUUGUUUGACUCACAUUGACCUUCAUAAGCUCACUCCCCGACAGUGUUUAACUUUUCAGGUAAACCUUGAAACUAGGACCGACCUCGGCAUACAGAGCGUCGCCUCAGACAACAGACUAUUUUUUUAAAUAAGUAUUAUUAAUAUGUCUCUAUUGGUUUUGGUUUAUAAUUUUUAAUGUCUUUGGUUUGUGUCUUGAUUAUUUUUUAUUUGGGGAGUUUUGCAUGCAUGGAUUACUUAAGCAUAAUAAUAGGGAAAUGCAUUAUAUCUGGCUUAAAUAAAAUUUGACAUUAUUCUCCAAUUUUAGCUGCAUUGUAAAUAAAUCAUUUUUGAAAAAAAAAUCGUUAAGGCAACUAGAUUCCUAAAAGGACAUGAAUAAUGGUUUUCUUGUUGCAUUAGUUAACAUCGAGUUUUUACAAAGUAGAGCGACAAACAAAUAAUAUUUCUAAAACAUCAUUUUCAACACUAAAAUGAAUCUUAAGUACAGAUGACCUAAUAAAUGAAUGGUUUUUAAACUAACUCAAAGUACAACCAUAAUUUUUUUAUCUAAAAUGAGUUGAUUUAAGGUAGUCAAAAGUAUCGUAAGUUAGCUUAGUCAUUUUGGUGGCUAAUGCAAUUUUCAUAAUUUGACCAUAAAGUCUAAGCUGAGUUAGAGAGGUUACACUUAGUGGUAUCAAAUCCAGGUUCUUAAAAUCAACCUAAAGUUUUAAAAGGGUCUGCAUGCAUUCAUUGGGGUAUUUUGGAAAAAACAAGCCACAAAAAGUUUCGAAAAUGAUUUUCUUUAAAGAAAAACAAGUCCAAGACUUCGAUACUGGUUGCCGUAGACAUAUAACCCUAAACGCUAGGAGUGUAUUGCUGUAUAACUUAAAUAAUUAGUGAUUAUGUUUUUUUGAAAUUGUAAGAUAAGAAACUGAAAACAACUGAAAUUAACUAGUGAAUAAUUUUUUGAAACUAUAGAUGAAACUUAAGAUCGUAAACUAAAUAAUUAACAAUCGUAGUAUGACGAACCUUGGGGCUCAGCAUCGAGCUACCCAAGUUGAGUCAAGUGAGCAAGAGACCGGGGAUGAUGCGGUGUCUCGAGCAAUGUUAGGAGUCUUAGAAAAGGUUUUCAAGAUUAUGGUUGAGAAGAAUAAGUUAGGGAAAGAGAGUUAAUGCUUGGAGCGGAAGAGAAAUGAAAGAGUUUUUUACAAAAUUAUUAUAAAAAAAUAAAAAAUAACUAAAAUAUUAUAACUUUUUUUUAUUUAUCAAAAUAUUAUAAUUUUUUUAUUUAUCAAAAUAUACAAAAAAAAUAAAAAAAAAACUUGACACAGCCUGAUCAGGCCAAUUACAUUGGCAGUAUCAAAGGUGCCAAUGUGAUUGGUGGCACCAAUGGUGCCAAUGUGAUUGGUGGCACCAAUGGUGCCAAAGGACUAAAAUGUUAGUUAAGGGUAGUUUCAAGGACUUGACAUGCAAAUUUAUCAUUUUGAAUUUUGAAAGUUAAUUGCUGCUGCUGUGCGCACUAAAAUUAAAAUAUGGCUAAUUGCCUUCUAAGCACUCAUUAUUUAUUAUUUUCUUUUU
rnacentral:lncRNA from 1 species